CACCUGUCUCCUUUGAGCCUGGGGCUGAGCACCUCAAGUAAUAGGUGAGGCAGCCACUAGUAAUCGAUCCCACUGGCUCAGAAGUUGAAACUGAAUUUCCGUUCGGGUAUGCCUUUGCUCUGAGGGCAUGGUAGGAGAGCUUGCAGUGUCUCCUCAGCCUCGAGGGGAAGCCUGGGUUGUAUGGGGCUUUCUGGGUUAUUGGACAGUUGGGAGGUCUUGGCUUAAGCGCUGCCAUUGGAAAGAUGGUGGCUGCCCUGCUGAGGGGCUGGUGUGUGAGAGGCCAGUCGGACCCUCCGGGCAGACGAUGUUGCCCAGUGUCGAAGUGGAGACGCGCAGAAGGUGAGGCCUGGCUGAGGUCACAGACUUAGAGGCGGGGAGGAUGGUUGACGCCACCUGUUCAGCCCCGGGGCUCUGACCCCUCCCCCGAGCCACAGGUGGGCUCUCUGGGGUCCUGCCCCAGCCCCACCCUCUGGGGUCUUGCUCUGGCCUGACCGCUUGGAGCAGUGGACUGCCCAGCCCCGAGGCUGCGGUUUCCCCGCCCACCUGGCACUGGGGACCUGGGUUCCCUGGUACCUGGUUGAGAUCCCUGUGAGCCCUGGAGGCAGAGUGUGGGACUGUGGGUGCCCGCUUCUCUCCUCUGCUCAUGCCAGGUGCUCCAGGCCGGGGAGGUCCCUGCACUGACCUGGUCCUGGCUUGGGACUCGGCUUGUUCCAUCACAUGGCCUCCGUGGUCUCCAUGGGUUUCCACCCCAGAGCCGUGGCCUGCUCCUCAGUCGCCUGAGAAUUACUGCUGAUGUCAGCGCAGGCUGUGUGUUUUGAUCAACAAAAAGCUGAGUUUGGGGGUCCAGCAGGAAUGUGAGAUGAGACACUGGGGCCCCGUGGGAGCCUGUGCUUCCCCCUUUACCUCCUGAAUCCUCGUCACAGCUCCCUGACAUGGGAUGGCCACUCCCAUCUCACAGAUGGGGAACCGAGGCUCACAGAUGGGGAACCGAGGCUCUCCUAUAGAACCGCGUGGCUGUAAAGAAGCUGCAGAAGGAGGCUCCUACCAGGUCUCCGAGGCCCCAGCCCUUCCUUCCCUCCCUCUAGGUGUGGUUUGAAGUCCAGGGUCUUCCUCGGGGGGCAGCUGUCUCUGUCCUCUGCCCUGGGACAUGCUCCCCACACAGCGUCACUCCUUUCCUCCUCCUGGGUGCCCUGGCCUGGCUGCAGCGUGGGUGCCUGUCUGCCUGUCUCCCCUCUAGACAGGCCUUGGCUAAGGCAGGGGCCGCGUCUUGAGACCUCAGUAUCUCUGAUGUGAGCAUCCUGCCCGGCUCACGGGAGGCACGUGAUGACGUCUGGGGGAUGGGUGCGUGGAAAGCCAGAGGGGUCCUUCCAGCAAACUCCCCUCAUCGUGCCCUGGGCCAGGUGGGCCUCCACAAGUCUGGCUGAAUUGGGGGCAGAAGUUCUGCUCCCGGCCUCCCCAGACAGCAUGGAGACAGCUGGCGUGUCCUCUUCAGGUGUUAGUAGCCAGAGUCCUGCAGUCAAGCCAGAGAGGACCUGAAAGCCCCUUUCCUUUUGUUAAACGCAGCCCCACACUUGGUUCUGCUUGCGUUAGUCUCGCAUCGGUGGCGCAUGGCCUUUUCUUAGGUCCACACUUCAGGAGACCUCGAGAAAGCAGGUGUAAAUACGCACGCCUGCCAGCAGCCAGUGGCAGCAACCGCCUAAUAAACUCCAAGUAAAUAAUGUGCUGAUUAGCGGGAUGGCGGCCCCGGAGACGCUGGCCUCUGUGGGGGCAGAUCCCUGUCCACACCUGGGAUCCAGGGCUCCACGAAGUCCCAGGGCCUGUGGCUGACGCCCUGGUGACACCUGGGCUUUUCCGUAGGGAGAAGGGGGUGGCGGACCUGGCUGAACUCAAGUUCAGGCAGUGCUGCUCAGGAGGACGAGGCACUCGACCCUUCAGCUCCUGCUUUUCAAGGUCAGGGCUCUGAGGCUCGCCCGGGGGGAAGGAGCUCCUCAUUGCAGCCUCCACGGCCUCUGGACUCGCCUCUCAGUGCUGCCCCUGGGCCCCGCCGUCCCAACCAGGCCCCGUCGUAGCUUCCGUUGAUGAAAUACCGUCUCCGCGCCAGGCUGGUGCACCUGUUGUCUCCCGUCUUCCUACGGCUGCUGCGGCGCUGUGGGGGCGAGGACAGGGAGCAUCUGUAGCUGGCUCGGGUCACCCAGCCCACCUGCAGCUUGCUUGCCAGGUGUUGCUGUGGGACACUGCUGGGCCAGAACCGUGUUGUUGAGGGCUGGUGGUUGCUGGCAGGUGGCUGAGCUUGGCCUCCGGGGCUCCUUGCUGGGCCCUGGGUACCACUGCCCUUUGACCUGGCUGGACUCUGCCCAGCAAGCCCCUCGGUCACCCAGCAGCCUCUUUACUCCCAAAGAGCCCGCUCCCUGCCGCAUCUCUGGUCCCUGCUCCCCCGGGCAGCACUUAGUACACACCCCUGGGCUGAGCCCAUUACCUGUGUCCCUCCCCCCGGGGCAUUGACUGUGCUUUGAGCUCUGUGCAUCGGUCUCUGGCCUCAGCACCCAGGGCAAGGCCUUAGCACCCGGGAGGGUCUGGGGGAGAGAGGAAUGUCCUGUCCACCAGAAGCAGGUGGGCACUGUCUGUGACCCGAGCGUGUGCCCAAAGCUCGCCCGGCUUCGUGCGGGAACCCCCAGUCCAGAGGGCUCAGCUGGAGGGAGUUGAUUGGAAGGGAAGGGAAGGGGGAGCCCUUGCCCAGGUGAAUUCUGAGCGUGGGGGCUGCAGAGGCUUACGGUGCAGAGGGACCUCUGAGCUGGCGUGCUGUCUUCUUCUCGUGCUUUUUUUCCCUUUAUUAUGUGUGCCAUAACUGCCUCCACGAGAAAGGACUAUACAAUCUCUUACUUUGAGUGAACCAGUAUCAGAAGCGUUAAAACGAUGUUGAAAGGUUGGGAGUCAGACAUUCAAGGGAUGGGAAGUGUUGUUCCGGUAACCUGCACUGCAAUGGAGCACAGAAUUUAGCUCUGAACUUCCCGGCGGCCUUGGCAAAAAGGGAAACCUGGUGAAUUUGGAUUUGCAUCUGAAUACAAGCGGAAUGGUUUGGGACAGAGAUCAGGCUUCCUCUAAGAUAAAAGGCCAGUUGGUAGCUAUUUGAGGCUCUGUGGGCCCCCGUCCUCUCAUUUGCAGCUACUCAGCUCCGCCACGGCAGGGCAAGAGUGUUCACAGACAGUGUGUACUGAGUGGGUGUGGCAGUGUCAAUAAAUCUUUAUUUUUACAAAAACAGGCAGCCAGUCCAAGAACUGUCAUUGUCGGGUCUCCAAGAUGAGGAGCCGUGAGUGUCACGCGGACGCAUCACGAUGGCCUGUGGCAUCCAAAAAUGGAGACAGGUUUUCACAUCGACCCGCGCAGAAAGUGAGACAGAACGUCAGAGAGAGGGGGUCUGGUCCUCUCAUUUGGCACCCCCAGACCUCACUCUGCAUCUUUUUCCCUGGAGAGGGAGAGGUUUGGUCACAGAAGCCAGCGGCAUCGGCCUGGGGCAGAUGGACCUCGCCAGCUUGGGUGCGCCCUUCCUGAAGCCCCGGCCUUGGCCCCGCAGGCUCCCUUCCUGCGUGACCUCACUGUACAGGCUGCCCCUGUGGGUUGACCUUGACCCUCUGUCACCGGCUUGUUCUGCCAAGGAAGGAAGGGUAUUGGAAGGAGGGCCUUGGGCUGGCGGUGUGGCUCCACAGUGGGUUAAGAGGUAGUUAUCGUGGCAUUUUGUUCUGAUUGCUGGGGGCGGUAUAUAGGAAAAGGAAAUUUCUGCGCGUUCUGCUCAUUAGCAGUGACUUUCAGUUUGUUUAUCUCCUUACUCCUGACCUCAUUCCACAAAGGCUGGGAGGUGGGCAAGGCCUGCCAAGAUGUGCUGAACAUCUCAGCUGCUUUUCCUUCUCCAGAAAACAGAGGUUGCUGAAGCUCCCAGGGUGAGGCCGGGAGCUGCUGAGACUCGGCUGUCCCCUUUCCCAAGGGUCCAGGGUCACUGACACCUUGCCCUGCGCGGCUGCGUGUGUCUAAUGUCCAGGGGGGGAGGCGGAGCCUUUGGGAAAAUCUUUGAAUUUUUCCAGGCGGUCUAGAACUGGGAUGGGGCCCACAGUGUGGAUUCAACUUCUCUGGGAGCCCAGCUGGCCCUGGCGUCUGAGGUAGGGUGGUCCCUGCGUGCUUGUUUUCAGGGUCUGGAGAACCACUGGCCACACCGCCUGGAAGAAACGGCUGAGGGUCGAGCCCCCCGAGUUACCAGCCCCAGAAUUCUUUCUCCCCUUCCCCGGCCAGUCCUACCGUUCCUUCCACGACUGUUUUAUUUUCAUUCUCUCUUCCUAUGGCUGCGAGAGACUGCGUUUCCAUUAAGUAACGACCAUUUCACCCUCCUUUUCAAAGUAAUUUAUGUUUUUAUUCUUUCUUUCUUUCUUUAUGUAUUUUUUAUUUUUGCUUUUUAGCAUAUGGAGGUUCCCAGGCUGGGGGUCGAAUUGGAGCUGCAGCCGCUGACCUCACCACAGCUCGCGGCAACACCGGAUCCUUAACCCACUGAGCGAGGCCAGGAAUCGAACCUGCCUCCUCAUGGAUACUAGUUGGGUUUGUUUCCGCUGCACCACGAUGGGAACUCCUUUUUAUUUAUUUUUUAAGACUGCAUCUAUGGCUUAUGGAAGUCCCCAGGCUAGGGGUCAAAUCAGAGCUCCAGCUGCUGGCCUGCACCACAGUCACAGCCACAGCCACAGCCACGCGGGAUCUGAGCUGCAUCUGCAACCUAAACCACAGCCCAUGGCAACACUGGAUCCUUAACCCCCCGAGUGAGCCCAGGAAUCGAACCCGCAUCCUCGUGGAUACUAGUUGGGUUCGUUACCGCUGAGCCACGAUGGAAACUGCCUUUUCAAAGUAAUUUAGUGACGCUGCAUCUUCUGUACACCUGCCCACAGGUCUGGGACCUGGCCCACCUGUCCUGUCCCAGGUACCCUUUGAUAAGAGGUCUUGUCAGCCCAGGUGGGCUUAAAUUAGGACCCAAGCCAAGCAGUCGUGUUCACGUUGCCCAUGUGGCCUUAUUGUAGAUAAAUUCAUGGGUUUCUUUAGAUUUUGGCACGUUUAACAUGUUUGAAUAGAGAAUGCCCUUCGCGACUACCUUCAGGGACCCAAGGCUGGAACUGAGAUGCUGGUGCUCGGUUUAGUCUGAAGCAUAUGCCUUCCAGCCUUUGGGUGCAGGUUCCCCCUCUGCCUGGGUGCAGGGAAAGAGGGGGGUCACCUUUGAGGGAGAAGGUUCUGGACUCUUUGGAAGCACAUGUCAAUGUCCGGCUUCUUGCUGGCCAGCGCUCGCCCAUCACUGAUGCUCUGAGUGACUGCGGGGUGAGCAGAGGAGGGAUCCCUGCCAGGCACUGCCUGGGGGAAGGGGUUGUCUGAGUGCCUUUGGGGUGCGGUGCCAGGGUGGGGGGCACAAGUUUCUGGCUCCCCCACCACCUGCCUCCCUCCCCACCAUGCCCCCAUCCCCCCCACCGAGGGCACGAUGCCUCAUCACUGCAGACAGGAGGCGCUCAGGGAGCUCAGUAUCGGGUCCACAGGCCCUCAGCUUCUGCCCGAUGCCAGGGAGUGGCUGGUCUCCAAGUUCACCAGGGGCCACCACACAGCUCGGGGGUGGAUCCCGUCGGCAGCAACCGCCCACAGCGGUGACUGUCCCCCUUCAGCUGCACACCCCGUCAUCACGCCCGGGCGGCCUUUUCCAUUUCCAAGGUCAGCUCUGAGCGGGGUCCCAGAGGGUCCCCGCUCUGGGGGCUGCACAGAGCCUGGAAGUCUGGGGCAGGGGCAGACCCACGAGGAAGAAGCCUCUCCGACUGAAGCAGUCUUGGGAGGACAGGGGCCACCCAGCACCCAGGACCUCUCUGCGAUGCCCAUUGGCUGGAAGGUGGGGUGACAGGGGCUGGGGCGGGCGUAUGGCAAAAGGAUUCUUUAGACCUCAAGAAGCAAGGUGGCAGCUUCCUGCUGUGCUGGGCUGUAACGAUGCCUUCAGGUGUGUGUGUUGGGGGGUCCCUUUUAGACCUGCAUCCCCGUCAGCUCAGAGCCUGGGCACGUCUGCGUUGUUUCCACCCCGGUGGUGGCAUUUACAGGCGUGGACUGAGCUCACUGUGGAUGCUCUCGUGGGUCCUUGCUCACGUGGCACUUGACGCCCUUUCUGUCUGCUGAGGCCGCAGGGACGAGAAGGGGGCUGGCGGGCAGAGGAGCAGCUGCUGCCUUGGUGCUCGGUGGCUGGGAACCUUCUUCCCACGGCUAAGCCUCUGUUUCCUCCUCUGGGAAGUGGGGCGUUAACUGAGAUAACGCGUGGAAGGGCCCAGCCUGGUGCCUGGGCAUGCUGGACACCUGGAAAGGCAGCUGCCAUUCAUUCUGUCCAGGUGGGCUGUGGCAUCAAACGGCCGAGGACAGGAAUCAGGGGCCCCUCUGCGCGUCUCCACGGACAGAACCUUUCAGUGGCUGCCCCUGCCCCAAGUUCCCAGGGUUCUUGGUGGAGGGUGGGGGGGUCGUUUGGCCCAAGUCCCUCCCCAGCCAGAGACCCGGGCACAGGGAGCGGGAGGGGCUUGCUCAGGCUGUUCGCUGUUCUAGGCAGCGGGAUACAGAGAUGAGGGCUCAGCCCCUGGAGGAUGCCAGGCAAAGGGACUGGGAGCCGUGCGAUGCCUUCAGGGACCAUCGAGGGAGGCUGAGAGCUCUGGAAGGGGCCUGAGCCGGGACAUGAAAGAGGCGAAGCCAUUCCCCGUGGAGGAUGGGAGGCCACUGGAGGCGGAGGGAGUGACGGCACUCGGGGUGUUCUGGGCCCUGCGAGUAGCCAGCUUGACGUCGGGAGCCUAGGACACGGUGCAGAGGGGGUGGAACAGGUCACCAGCAGCAGAUCAAGGGGUGCACAGGUGCCAGGCUUGGGGGUCUGUUGUUUCUCCCUUGUCUUGGGAGAUGGAGGGUUCCCAGCUGUGUGACUUAGGAAGAAUCACUUCACCUCUCUGAGCCUUCCGUGGUCAUCUGUAAACUGGGGAAGCUGGUGAUGCUGAUGGUUACGGGGCUCGAAUAAGGGUCUAGACGUGCGCAGCCCUAGUGCACGGGAGCAUUGCCCUGUCACCUUUUGUGCCCCCCCCCAACCCCAGGGUCUGAUGUGUUAAUUGUGUGUGACAGCUUUUCAACUAGUGAUCACUCUUAAGCCGUUGAUGGUCAAUUUGUUUUUCAGGCUUUCUUUAAAAUGAGUCUCGGUUUGGCUUCCAGGGGUAGGAAUCCCUGGCUGGAGUUGCUUUUUCCUCUGUAGAAAUAUUUGCAUGGGCCGCUGGCCACUUCUCCUGGGAAACUGGAUGCUCUGUGGCAUUGCUCCCGUCCUUAGGAGAAUGCUGGGGGCCUGGAAAGUUGGACGAUGUGUGUCCACUCUCUGACCCACCUCAAGGCCCAGGCCGCGCCUCCCCAUGCCGGGCCGGGCUAUGCCUGCUUCCCUAGGUCAGCAGAGUGUGGUCUGGGAGGCAGAAAGGCCCGAGGCAGCUGGCCCUGGGUGGGGAGGCCCAGCUCCCUUUGGCAGAGGGGAGGCUUCCCAUUUAGUUUGGAUCAGCAAAUAUUGAUGGAGGGCCGGUGUGUGCCAGCCUGGGGAAGGGCCCCCCAGGUGACCCCCACGCAGGCCCUGUCCUCAGUGAGCUCCCUGCUCCCGAGUUCCUUCUGGGUUGACCUGGAGGCGGCCGUGCCAGCCUCCUGCCGUGUGCUGGGGAGUCCAGAACCAGGAACCUGGCCUGAGGGGCGGGCCACACAGCACGGGUGGGGGCAGGAGGGGGAGAGGACACAGAUGCCUCCCACCCCAGUGUCACGACCAAGGUGGCAUCCCCAGGUACUGGGCUGAGAAUCCUUCACCUUUGGGGGAGCAGACAAAGCGCCCUUGGCCUCCAGAGGAGGCCUGUCGAGGUUGGAGGGCUGCCAGCUGUGCGUUCUGGAGCCAAGUGCACGGCCUAGACCCCUGGCCCUGAUGGCCGAUGUGCCAGCAUCUCGAGCCCUGGCACUGACCGUGCAGUGCAACCGGCCUUUCGGUGCUUGGCACCAGCUCAGCUGUGGGCUUCCUGAAACUGGGAUGACAAAGCUCCAAACGGGAUUUCAGCCGCCCCUGCCCACCCGAGUGGAAUCCGCCCUCCCUGCAGUCUGACCAGGCCUGGGCGCCGAGGCCGGGGCAGUGGGUGGGCUCGCCUGUCCGUGGUGUGGACCCCGCAGCAGCUCAGAUCUCUGCACACGCGUGGGUGAGCCCGGGGUGGUGGUGGGGUUCACUGCUGUUCACCCACCCUGGGUUAAUAAGAUUG
rnacentral:lncRNA from 1 species